GUCUACAUUACGAUACCCCUGUAGUCCCAGCCGUAAACUAUGCUCGCUAGGUGUCAGGCAUGGCGNGACCGUGUCUGGUGCCGCAGGGAAGCCGUGAAGCGAGCCACCUGGGAAGUACGGCCGCAAGGCUGAAACUUAAAGGAAUUGCGGGGGAGCACCACAACGGGUGGAGCCUGCGGUUUAAUUGGACUCAACGCCGGGAAGCUCACCGGAUAAGACAGCGGAAUGAUUGCCGGGCUGAAGACUCUGCAUGACUAGCUG
rnacentral:rRNA from 1 species